AUUGAACGCUGGCGGCAGGCCUAACACAUGCAAGUCGAACGGUAACAGGAAACAGCUUGCUGUUUCGCUGACGAGUGGCGGACGGGUGAGUAAUGUCUGGGAAACUGCCUGAUGGAGGGGGAUAACUACUGGAAACGGUAGCUAAUACCGCAUAACGUCGCAAGACCAAAGAGGGGGACCUUCGGGCCUCUUGCCAUCGGAUGUGCCCAGAUGGGAUUAGCUAGUAGGUGGGGUAACGGCUCACCUAGGCGACGAUCCCUAGCUGGUCUGAGAGGAUGACCAGCCACACUGGAACUGAGACACGGUCCAGACUCCUACGGGAGGCAGCAGUGGGGAAUAUUGCACAAUGGGCGCAAGCCUGAUGCAGCCAUGCCGCGUGUAUGAAGAAGGCCUUCGGGUUGUAAAGUACUUUCAGCGGGGAGGAAGGGAGUAAAGUUAAUACCUUUGCUCAUUGACGUUACCCGCAGAAUAAGCACCGGCUAACUCUGUGCCAGCAGCCGCCGUAA
rnacentral:rRNA from 1 species